UACCAAGAGACGUAAGAACACAAGCUAAUCCUAGAAAAUCCAAAACACAUCAUAAGCUCCAAAUUCCUACAUAUACUCCUCCUUCAACCCCCUUUCAUCUUCCUUCAAAUAUCCGGCGUCCACAGCAGAAGAUCAUCCAAGACAAUUCUGUUACUAAAGAUUGUUCUAGAUCGAUAGGUAAAUGGAUGAUGGAGAGUUGAUUCAUAGACGACCGCAAUCGACGACAUAUUUUGGCAGUUGCUUGCCGAUGACAACAUCUCCGUCUUGUUUUCCGGUUAAACACGAAGAUUACUACACUCGGAUUCAUCGUGCUCCGAAGAGUAGUAAUAGUCAUGAUGUUGUGAAUAGAAUUAAGAGAAAAUGGAGAAAUCUGUUGAGAAGAUUAGUGUGCCAGAGAAAGAUUAUGAGUAUAUGCGGAGCAACGAUGAGUAGUGGUUCUAAUAAUAACCGAGUAACAUUUCAUUAUGAUGCUGUUAGUUAUGCUCAGAAUUUCGACGAAGGAUGUCAUCACCAACAAGAUCAACGUCACAUGAUAAUUCCGUCCAACAAGAAGAACAACUCCGGCAAUAAUAACUUCAUCAGAGAUUUCAAAAGCAUUAGUUCUAAAGUUGCUUGUUCCCGGUGACGAUCAUCCGGUCGUGAUAUACUUUUAUUAUGACACUUGAUAAAGAAGACGACGAUAUUCAAGAAAACAAUGGGAUUUUACUUUUAACGAUCGACUGCCCAGGGGAAGAUUUUCAUGUACAUGUUAUAAGGGGAAACACCAAAACAAUACGCGCAGUAAAUAAUUUGAUCCGGCCAAGACACUUAAGUGGUCGAAACGGUGCAUGUGGCGCAGCUGAGCAACUGUAAUGCUUGGAUAUCUGCAUCUUCGAAGUGACGAUAUAUAGUUGUUUACUUUACUAUAUGGUUUGUCCCCUUUGGAUUUUGUAAUUAGUCUGUUUACUAUGCUUAAUGAGCCAAGUCCAACUUUGUGCACCCCUCCAAUACCGGGGUGCAUAUUGCGGCUUUAACUAUUGGCCAAAAUAUGUGGAGUGGUUUUCCGUUUCUGUUCA